rnacentral:rRNA from 1 species
UACCAGCACCCCGAGUGGUCGGGACGAUUAUUGGGCCUAAAGCAUCCGUAGCCGGUUCUACAAGUCUUCCGUUAAAUCCACCUGCUUAACAGAUGGGCUGCGGAGGAUACUAUGGAGCUAGGAGGCGGGAGAGGCAAGCGGUACUUAGUGGGUAGGGGUAAAAUCCGUUGAUCCAUUGAAGACCACCAGUGGCGAAGGCGGCUUGCCAGAACGCACUCGACGGUGAGGGA